AAUAAAAUAAGGUUUUAUCUAAAAUAAUAAUUCACACAGCAAUCACGUUCCUAUCACGUGCACAAUGCGUUGUGGUGUCUAUAAAUAGCAGCCGAUUAUAAAUCCUUGGCAAUCGUUAGACGUCAAUUGGCGCGCAGGAGAGAUCUCUGUGUGAUCUCUUCGACGCGGGAGAGGCAAUUUCUCAGCCGUGUCGGCCAAGGAAGGUGAGUCAUUUCCUUAGGGUUAUGGAAAAUUUUAGCGUUGUAUUACGAUUCCAUCUCGGGUAUGGUACCAUCGUUAUCUAUGCUAUGAUUUAUAAUCUUCCUUUUUUUUUUUUUUUUUUUACCGAUUUAAAUCGCGGUAUGGAGAAUCGGUCUUUGUAGGAGGGAAAGCAAAGGCUCUGAAGCAUCCCACGGUUGAUAAGAAAAAUUACGACGAGAAAUCACGAUACUGGAUUGUUUGUUCUUGAUCGUAUACUGGGGUGGGCUUGGGGGCGAUAUUGGAUGGUUUGUUCUUACGCCUUAGGUGGAGUUUGCCAUUUAACUAACGAAUCGACAAGUCAAAUGCCUCUUUUUUUG